GAUGAAGAACGCAGCGAAAUGCGAUACGUAAUGUGAAUUGCAGAAUUCAGUGAAUCAUCGAAUCUUUGAACGCAUAUUGCGCUCUCUGGUAUUCCGGAGAGCAUGCUUGUUUGAGUAUCAGUAAACACCUCAACUUCCAUAUCUUUUUUGAAAUGGGAGUUGGACUUGAGUGAUCCCAACGCUUUUCCUCACCGAAAAGUGGCGGGUUACUUGAAAUGCAGGUGCAGCUGGACUUUUCUCUGAGCUAUAAGCAUAUCUAUUUAGUCUGCCUAAAAAACAGAUUAUUACCUUUGCUGCAGCUAACAUAAAGGAGAUUAGUUCUUGUGCUGACUGAUGCAGGAUUCACAAAGACGGCUUCGGCCGACUUUGUAAACUCGAUCUCAAAUCAAGUAAGACUACCCGCUGAACUUAAGCAUAUCAAUAAGCGGAGA
rnacentral:misc_RNA from 1 species